UUGCGUUCCACGAACCCGGAAGUGGAUCACAGACGUUUAUUUUCAUUUCCUUCAUUAUUAUAGUUACUCCAAACGUGUGUGGGUAGAUGAAUAAACAGAGUGGGGGGAGGAAAUACUAUUAAAAAAACUCUGGAUGGCACCACAUUAAUAAGAUUAUUACAAUAAUUUCGAUCAUUUUACAAUAGAAUCUAUGGGUGCAGAAACAUGC